GCCAGGCACGGUGGCGCACGCCCGUAAUCCCAGUGACUUUGGAGGCUGAGGUAGGAGGAUCGCAAGUUUGAGGCCAGCCUUAGCAAUUUAGUGAGACCCUUGGCUACCCAGUGCGACCUUGUCUCAA
rnacentral:sRNA from 1 species